AGGUCACUGCUAUCGGGGUUCGAUUAAGCCAUGCGAGUCGAGAGGGUUCGGCCCUCGGCGUACUGCUCAGUAACACGUGGAUAACCUGCCCUAGGGAAGGGGAUAACCCCGGGAAACUGGGGAUAAUACCCUAUAGGUUACAGAUGCUGGAAUGCCCUGUAACCCAAAGUUCCGACGCCCUAGGAUGGAUCUGCGGCCGAUUAGGUUGUUGUUGGGGUAAUGGCCCAACAAGCCCGUAAUCGGUACGGGUUGUGGGAGCAAGAGCCCGGAGUUGGAUUCUGAGACACGAAUCCAGGCCCUACGGGGCGCAGCAGGCGCGAAAACUUUACAAUGCGGGCAACCGUGAUAAGGGAACCUCGAGUGCCUGUAAAUGCAGGCUGUUCAGGUGCCUAAAACACACCUGAAGAAAGGGCCGGGCAAGACCGGUGCCAGCCGCCGCGGUAAUACCGGCGGCUCGAGUGGUGGCCGCUUUUAUUGGGCUUAAAGCGUUCGUAGCUGGGUUGUUAAGUCUCUUGGGAAAUCUGGCGGCUUAACCGUCAGGCGUCUAAGGGAUACUGGCAAUCUUGGAACCGGGAGAGGUGAGGGGUACUUCGGGGGUAGGAGUGAAAUCCUGUAAUCCUCGAGGGACCACCUGUGGCGAAGGCGCCUCACCAGAACGGCUUCGACAGUGAGGGACGAAAGCUGGGGGAGCAAACCGGAUUAGAUACCCGGGUAGUCCCAGCCGUAAACUAUGCGCGUUAGGUGUAUCGGUGACCACGAGUUACCGAGGUGCCGAAGGGAAACCGUGAAACGUGCCGCCUGGGAAGUACGGUCGCAAGGCUGAAACUUAA
rnacentral:rRNA from 1 species